ACGAAGGUGGGAUUGGGACAUGGUAGGAUUAGGAAUAGGGGUGAGGUUGGCACAUGGUAGAGAUGAGGGGUGGAGAUGGUGGCUAGGAACAGGGUUAGAAAUGGGGGUUGGAAAUGGGGUUGGAAACAGGGUUGAGAACAGGGAUUGGGAAUGGGGUCGGGAAUAAGAGACAUAUAUGAUUACAAAAUCUGUAAUAAAGAUCCAACAUAAUAAACUUCAUGCAACUAGAUUUGUUCAGUGUUUCAUUUAGUAAAUUCAAAUUUUAACUCUUUAUUUAUCUUUAAAAUUGA
rnacentral:lncRNA from 1 species